rnacentral:rRNA from 1 species
AUUGAACGCUGGCGGCAUGCCUUACACAUGCAAGUCGAACGGCAGCACGGGUGCUUGCACCUGGUGGCGAGUGGCGAACGGGUGAGUAAUAUAUCGGAACGUACCUUAUCGUGGGGGAUAACGCAGCGAAAGUUGCGCUAAUACCGCAUACGCCCCGAGGGGGAAAGCGGGGGACCGUAAGGCCUCGCGCGAUUAGAGCGGCCGAUGUCUGAUUAGCUUGUUGGUGAGGUAAAAGCUCACCAAGGCGAUGAUCAGUAGCUGGUCUGAGAGGACGGUCAGCCACACUGGGACUGAGACACGGCCCAGACUCCUACGGGAGGCAGCAGGGGGGAAUUUUGGACAAUGGGGGCAACCCUGAUCCAGCAAUGCCGCGUGAGUGAAGAAGGCCUUCGGGUUGUAAAGCUCUUUUGUCAGGGAAGAAACAGCAGCUCUAACACAGUCUGCGAAUGACGGUACCUGAAGAAUAAGCACCGGCUAACUACGUGCCAGCAGCCGCCGCGG